rnacentral:lncRNA from 1 species
AACCUCCCCACGCUUAAGAUGUACAUUGCCCUCAAUGUACAAACAGAUAUAAGUACAGAAUAAUCACAAUAUCAAAAAAGAAGGGGAGAACUAAAACUGCCCUGAAUAUGGACGAGAUCUCCAGAAUAGAGAAAACCAAAAGUGUGAGCAAAUCUAAAUGUAGUGCAUGUUUCCGAGCAACUAAUAAAAAGAAAACCACAAAUAAAUAAAAAGAUUUAGAGGUUACAAACUCGAAUAAAAACCACCAUCAAAAUAAGAAAAAUAAAAACAUAGUUCAAAAUAAAAAUAAACUAAAG